GCUAUCAUUGUAGGAGGGGAGUUGCGUCUGAUUAGCUAGUUGAGGGGUAACGGCCCACCAAGGCGAUGAUCAGUAGCCGGUCUGAGAGGAUGAACGGCCACAUUGGGACUGAGACACGGCCCAAACUCCUACGGGAGGCAGCAGUGGGGAAUCUUCCGCAAUGGGACGAAAGUCUGACGGAGCAACGCCGCGUGAGUGAUGACGGUCUUCGGAUUGUAAAGCUCUGUUAAUCGGGACGAAUGGUUUGUGUGCAAAUAGUGCAUAGACAUGACGGUACCGGAAUAGAAAGCCACGGCUAACUACGUGCCAGCAGCCGCGGUAAU
rnacentral:rRNA from 1 species